UGCGCAGGCGGACUUGUAAGUCAAGGGUGAAAUCCUACAGCUCAACUGUAGAACUGCCUUUGAAACUACAAGUCUUGAGUUCGGAAGAGAGAGGCGGAAUUCCAGGUGUAGUGGUGAAAUACGUAGAUAUCUGGAAGAACACCAGAGGCGAAGGCGGUCUCUUGGUCCGUAACUGACGCUGAGGCACGAAAGCGUGGGGAGCAAACAGGAUUAGAUACCCUGGUAGUC
rnacentral:rRNA from 1 species